UCUCCAAAAAACGUACUCAGUUCGGAUUGUAGGCUGCAACCCGCCUACAUGAAGUCGGAAUUGCUAGUAAUCGUGGAUCAGCAUGCCACGGUGAAUACGUUCCCGGGCCUUGUACACACCGCCCGUCAAACCAUGAGAGUUGGCAACACCCGAAGCCUGUAGCUUAACCGCAAGGAUGGCGCAGUCGAAGGUGGGGUCGAUGAUUAGGGUUAAGUCGUAACAAGGUAAC
rnacentral:rRNA from 1 species